GCGUUUGUCCAUUCACCAAUCGAUGGGCACCUAUCAGCUGAGUGAUGCUGCUGUGCCUUUGUGUGAGCGUGUGGUUGUUGUUUUCAGUUCUCUUGGCCUGGGCCUAGGAGAGGAAGAGCUGGGUGUCAUUUAGCACAGCCGUCUUGGUGAACGCGAAGCAGUACCUCACUGUGGUGUUUCCUGACAUUUCCCUGAUGUCUAACAACGUCAAAGACGUUUCCACAUGUGGAUUAGCAGUUUGUCAUUGAUUCAUCUAAGUUAAUUUCUGCAUCUGGUGUGAGGUGGAACAUAAAUCCAUGCUUUUGCACAUGACUAUGCAGUUGACCCCCCACCGUUUGUCAAAUAGACUUUCUCUCCCACUGAAUGUGCAUCGCCCUUGCUGAAAAUCAGCUGACUACAAGUGUGAAGAUGGUUUUGACAAUGCUGCGUUCCUUGAAUUUCCAACAGUGGGAUCACACUUCACAAUGAGAUUUGGAGGAGACACACACCCACAACAUAGCUUAGGAGAAGGGGCUGCAAGCCACGGACACAGGCAGAAGCUGGGCUCGGAGCUGGAGCUGGAAAAGGCGAGGACAGGGGUUCUCCCUGGAGCCCCAG